rnacentral:lncRNA from 1 species
UUUUAUUGGGUUUUUUUUAACAUCUAUUCAUCAAAUUCAUAAUUAAGUUUGAAAAUUGUUAUGUCAUAAUAUAAUUAUCAACUUACCCAAUCCAUAUAAACUAUAGUAAUGUCAUAAUAAAUGGUUUACACAAAAAAAAAAAAUUUGUAAUGUCAUAAUUUAAAAAAAAAAACUUACUCAAUCCGAUUGCGCCACGUGGCGUCUCUUAACCGACCAAAUGAAUCCUUCUCCAACUUACGUAUCUUACCAAUAUUAAUGAAUUUUGAUUUAUAUUUAAAAGCUUGAUACCUUAAAUACUUC